rnacentral:rRNA from 1 species
CCUGAGACUCAGCGAAGUUGAAAUGUUUGUGAAGAUGCAAUCUCCCCGCGGCUAGACGGAAAGACCCCAUGAACCUUUACUGUAGCUUUGCAUUGGACUUUGACGGGACUUGUGUAGGAUAGGUGGGAGGCUAUGAAACCGGGACGCCAGUUCCGGUGGAGCCAACCUUGAAAUACCACCCUGGUGUCGUUGAGGUUCUAACCCAGGCCUGUGAAUCCAGGUCGGGGACCGUGCAUGGUGGGCAGUUUGACUGGGGCGGUCUCCUCCCAAAAGGUAACGGAGGAGUACGAAGGUCACCUAGGUACGGUCGGACAUCGUACUGAUAGUGCAAUGGCAAAAGGUGGCUUGACUGCGAGUCCAACAAGACGAGCAGGUGCGAAAGCAGGUCAU